UGGGGAAUAUUGCACAAUGGGCGCAAGCCUGAUGCAGCCAUGCCGCGUGUAUGAAGAAGGCCUUCGGGUUGUAAAGUACUUUCAGCGAGGAGGAAGGCGUUGUGGUUAAUAACCGCAGCGAUUGACGUUACUCGCAGAAGAAGCACCGGCUAACUCCGUGCCAGCAGCCGCGGUAAUACGGAGGGUGCAAGCGUUAAUCGGAAUUACUGGGUGUAAAGCGCACGCAGGCGGUCUGUCAAGUCGGAUGUGAAAUCCCCGGGCUCAACCUGGGAACUGCAUCCGAAACUAGCAGGCUAGAGUCUUGUAGAGGGGGGUAGAAUUCCAGGUGUAGCGGUGAAAUGCGUAGAGAUCUGGAGGAAUACCGGUGGCGAAGGCGGCCCCCUGGACAAAGACUGACGCUCAGGUGCGAAAGCGUGGGGAGCAAACA
rnacentral:rRNA from 1 species